AGAGUUUGAUCAUGGCUCAGAAUGAACGCUGGCGGCGUGCUUAACACAUGCAAGUCGUGCGCGAAGGAGGCUUCGGCCUCUGGAGAGCGGCGAACGGGUGAGUAACACGUGGGUAAUCUGCCUGGGAGCGCGGGAUAACCUGGGGAAACUCGGGCUAAUACCGCGUACGUUGAUGGGGCUUAGGUUCUGUCAAGAAAGCUGGCCUCUAUUCAUAAGCUAGCGCUCCCAGAGGAGCCCGCGGCUGAUUAGCUAGUUGGUGAGGUAAAGGCUCACCAAGGCGACGAUCAGUAGCCGGCCUGAGAGGGUGAUCGGCCACACUGGGACUGAGACACGGCCCAGACUCCUACGGGAGGCAGCAGUGGGGAAUAUUGGACAAUGGGCGCAAGCCUGAUCCAGCAACGCCGCGUGGAGGAUGAAGGUCUUCGGAUCGUAAACUCCUGUCAGAUGGGGCGAAGGCUUGGAGGCAAAUAGUUUCCAAGCUUGACGGUACCAUCAGAGGAAGCCCCGGCUAACUCCGUGCCAGCAGCCGCGGUAAUACGGAGGGGGCGAGCGUUAUUCGGAAUUAUUGGGCGUAAAGGGCGCGUAGGCGGCCCGGUAAGUCAAGGGUGAAAUCCCUCGGCUCAACUGAGGAACUGCCUUUGAAACUGUCGGGCUUGAGGCCGGGAGAGGAGUGGAAUUCCCAGUGUAGCGGUGAAAUGCGUAGAUAUUGGGAGGAACACCAGUGGCGAAGGCGGCUACCUGGACCGGUACUGACGCUGAUGCGCGAAAGCGUGGGUAGCAAACAGGAUUAGAUACCCUAGUAGUCC
rnacentral:rRNA from 1 species